GGGUUUCACCAGCGACUCUAAACAAGUAGGUGGAUUAAAUGCUAGUCUCUUUGGAAGAGGCGACACUAUCAAAUUGCGGGAAGAUCCUGUCAGGUCCACAUCACCGCGGCUCACCGAAAGGUGUAGUGCAGCACCAGGCUAACAACCUUGGGUAUGGUAAUAGUAUGUGGAAUAGGGAGAAUCUGCAGCCAAGCCCCUCUCUUGGGGUGCAGUUCACAGGCCAAAUGGUAGUGGGCACUCUGGUGCUUAAGAUAUGGUCGAGUCCCAAUUGAAAAGUUGGGUACAAGUACUCUGAUUGAUUACAUACAAUCUAUGCUGGUUGUAAAUGCAAAUGUUCCGUAGGUGAACCUGC
rnacentral:rRNA from 1 species